GCGGCAUGCCUAACACAUGCAAGUCGAACGGCAGCACAGUAAAGACUUCGGGCUUAGUGGCGGACGGGUGAGUAACACGUGGGAACGUACCUUUUGGUUCGGAACAACUCAGGGAAACUUGAGCUAAUACCGGAUGAGCCCUUCGGGGGAAAGAUUUAUCGCCAUUAGAGCGGCCCGCGUUAGAUUAGCUAGUUGGUGAGGUAAAGGCUCACCAAGGCUACGAUCUAUAGCUGGUCUGAGAGGAUGAUCAGCCACACUGGGACUGAGACACGGCCCAGACUCCUACGGGAGGCAGCAGUGGGGAAUCUUGCGCAAUGGGCGAAAGCCUGACGCAGCCAUGCCGCGUGAAUGAUGAAGGUCUUAGGAUUGUAAAAUUCUUUUACCAGGACGAUAAUGACGGUACCUGGAGAAAAAGCCCCGGCUAACUUCGUGCCAGCCGCCGCAGUAA
rnacentral:rRNA from 1 species